rnacentral:lncRNA from 1 species
GAUUGACCAAGACCAAGCCCGCGCCUGCGCCUGACAUGUUGGAAGAACCGUUCAUGUAGAGGGCCCAAAAACCAUCAGGAAGAUCUGUUCUUUCUUCAGGGGAGUUCGGCUGGAGCCCUGGGCUGUCGGCUUCAUCUCGUCCAAGUUCGGCCUCUUCCGGGAUAGUGCAUUCCACCAUGAAGUCUACUAAUAUCUGGGCUUUUAUUAUCGACCGAGGUCGAUAGUCGAUGUCGAACUCCGUGAGCUCGACUGCCCACUUCGCUAUCCUCUCAGAGGCGUCUGCUCGAUGCAAAACCGCCUUGAUCGGC